GCCCGCGGCUGGCGGAAGGACGGCCACGGUGGCGCCUGCGCGUCCGGCUCGCCGAGUUGCCGCCCGCCAUUUUUGGAGCUUCUUGGAGAUCUAGGCAGGAACCCGCCCCGGGUUCCUUCACCGAGGCUCCUCCCUAGGUCUCAGGGCCGGCGCUUUCCUCUGUUCCCGCCCGGCUCCUGCUGCCCCCAUCCGCAGCUCUCGAGACGCCCUGCGGAAACCCGAGGGUGAGGCCGCGCAGAUCCCUGCUCCUACUUGGAUUUAGCAAGGGCCUCAGAGCUUAGCAUUGUAUUCGCGAUUUACGGCUGACAAGCGCUUUCACCAGGCAAGAGUGAAAAGGUUUCAAAAGGACUAUUGGGGACUUCCCUCGCCAUUAAUCUAGACGAAACACCGCCGGCCCUAGGCCGAUUGGCGUCAUCCUGCCUCUGUAAAGCACAUCUUUCCGUGGUGUCGGCUUUGCAUAAGGCGGCAGCAUUGGCUAGUUUGUGAGAGGAGAAUAUAACUAGACUGAGAAGAUAGACUCAGCUGUGAAAGUGGAUUUCUCCCUCCACAACCUAGGACUACUUUCAGUAGCUCUGAAAUACACAUGAGAAUCUUAGCCUUCUAGAUGCCAAAAGAGAAAUAAUCAGUAAGGUGAAAUCAUUAACAAACUAUUUAUGUUUAACGUCGCCUCUUCCCUGAUCUCCACCUGCCCGUCCGUGGCCAUGGAUCCCUACCUUUCACCUGCUUACAACUUUUCACCACAAAAGUGAAUCCUUACUCUCCUGGAUCAUUAGCCCCAUAUAUGACUAACUUCUCUAUCGCUAUAGCCAACUCUAUUUCAGUAUGGAAUCGCUCAACUACUUUAUAGUCUUAAGGGCCUGUCUCCAGUAGGUUACCCCUAUUUGUGUUUUCUCUCUCAAGGGUUUGCAAGAUGUGUGGCUUUUCGCUGGAGGAAGUCAUAACUGACCAGAUUGGAUAUGAAUUCGUGACUGGACUCCUACUUAUAAUUUUCUUGCGUUUUCUUCUAAUCUCUGGCUGAUCUCCUAUUUUCCACAAAGACUGUUUCAAGCUUUCCAUGUUGUUAAAGAUGCCAGUCCCAGUCCAUACUAAUAGAUAAAUUCAUCCAGUUUCCUGGGCUCAGAGCUAUGGGACUCCAAUUCCGGUUUGACCUUGCCUCCAUUAUAAAAUAUCUGUGACCACCUCCUGUUCGUGAUCCCAAAACUUCUAACCAAAUUAACCCAGAACCCUUCUCUCCAAAGCCACUCCCUCUGCCUGAAACUAUGCCAUCCCUUCCCACCUUCUCCUUCCACCACUACUUUCCUAGCGCCUUAUAAUGUAAAUAUGUUCUUAUCCACUGUCUUCUUCCUUUCUGUUUCUCAGAAGUUUCUGUUGUCUUGGCUGGGUGCGGUGGCUCACACCUGUAAUACCAGCACGUUGUGAGGCAGAGGCGGGCAGAUAACAUGAGGUCAGGAGUUCGAGACUACCCUGGCCAACAUGGUGAAACCCUGUCUCUACUAAAAAUACAAACAGCCAGGCGUGCUGGUGUGCGCCUGUAAUGCCAGCUACUCGGGAGGCUGAGGCAGGAGAAUCUCUCGAACCCGGGAGGUGAAGGUUGCAGUGAGCCGAGAUCACGCCACUGCACUCCAGCUUGGGCGAUAAGAGUGAGACUCUGUCUCAAAAAAAAAAAGUUUCUUUUGUCUUUUUUUUUUUUUUAAUUCAGUGAUGUUACUCCCUCCAGUUGCUAUGCUAUCAACGUUCCUUUCAUUGACACAUUCUCAAAAGAAACAGUUACGGUUUUCACCAAUCCCCAUCCCCUACUUGAAACCCUUUUUCCCUUUCUUUUAAGACACUUCCCCGGAUCUACACCUACCUAGUUUGCUGGUCUUCUGAUUUCUUUGCUAGCACCUCCUCUUUCUUCAAUCUGUUCUCUACUACAUGCCUUCUCUUAGGUCUCCCAAAAUUAGUCUGUUCUUGAUUUUUCCUUAACUGAGUUUCCUCGUGUUCAGCUACUUGCCAGAAAGCUGCAGCUCAAACACUUAAAAUAAUUCAUCUCUCUUAUUUGAAUUUCCUAAUUUAUCCUAACAUUGUAAUUUCAGCUAGUGUAGUGAUUAAGAACAUGAACUGUGAAACCAGACUGCUCUGGAAAGCUUUGUAACCUUAGACAAAUCUCUUUCUGUCUCAAUUUCCUCAACUGCAAAAUGGAAAUAGCAACAGUACCAAUCUCAUAGGGUUGUUACGAGUGUUAAACUAUUUAACUAUUUAAUAUUUAAACUAUUUAAUAUAUUAUAGAAAUGCCAUCAGCAUUAUUACAUUUAUUGUUUUUAAUCUUACUAAGAAGUUUUUAGCAUUUUUUUAACUCUGAGGGCAUGGGUAAUCAACUUUCUAAGUUUAUAGAAAUCUAAAAUUGUAUUUUGCCCUCACACUUAAUAAUUGAUUAUAAGUCAUUUUUAUAAUCAAUUUUAUAAAUUGUUUAUAAAUAAUUACAUAGCAGCCUAGGCUCUAAAUUGUAGGGCCAGACUUGAUUAUUUUCUUUCAAAAAAGCCUAAGUCCCACCAUACCUCAUUCAGAUGGCUUGCUUUUUUUUCUACUGCUGCCAUCCUUAUUCAAACCCUUCUCCCCUCCCAUUGCCUUACACCAAAACUAUUGCACUAGCCUUGUAAACACCUCUCCCUUCAUUCACCUCCCUUUUGUUUGUGUUUGUUUGUUUGUUUUUGAGACAGGGUCUUGCCGUGUUGCCCAGGCUGGAGGGCAGUGGUGCAGUCAUAGCUCACUGCAACCUCUGACUUGGGCUCAAGUGAUUCUCACACCUCAGCCUUGCUAGGUCCAGAAGUAGGUGCCAUUGACCCACCUUCCCUCUACUCCCCACUCCUGCUUCACUUCUCUUUUUAAAAUGCAACAUUGUUAUACCUACACAAAAGCGUUCUGUGAUUCCUAUGGCUUAAAAGAUAUCAUCUAAAAUAGUUAAUGACAUUCAAGGCAUGCCUUGAUAUUUUUUCAUUUUUUUCUCUAUUUCAUUAGAAAUUAUUCACACUAGCUGACCUGUCUGAUUAAUCAUAAAUGUAAGUGAAGGGCAGAUUUAUUCAUCCUUUACCUAUCUGGUAAGAUAAAGUAAUAAAGGUCCCAUAACAUGUUGACUUUGUUACAGAAUUACACAUAAAAGCAGAGGCUGCUUUUAAGAAAUUCUUCCCCAC
rnacentral:lncRNA from 1 species